AUCCGUCCGCAGGACCAUUUUCAGGAUUGCAAGGGGAGCCUGCGGCCAGUGUCUGCACAGUAUUACAUGCGAUCUAACUGCCAGCAUGAAAUAAAGUUGAAAAUGUCUCUCUGAAAAUGGCCAGAGGUGCGAAUCACAGCUGAAAACUAAUGGUAGGCGGCGGCAUAGAUCCCCUGUCAAUGAGCAGAUGCCAAUGUGUCACUGGUGACCCUCACAUGAGAAGCUCUGACCCAUAGACAAUGCAAUAAGCUGCUGGCCUGCUGCUGCUGAAUGAAGCCUAGUAAGAUCAUCUGGCAAAGAGAUUUGCAGAGUGUCGGGUGACCGACAAAGAGAUCUGCAAAGUGUCAGUUGAAGACGACGGGAGGGGUCGCAGAGGUAGCAACAACUGGAGUAUAACUUGCAGGUGUUCAUCAUUUGACAAAGUUCUGGCAAAGAGAUUUGCAGAGUGUCGGAUGACCGGCAAAGAGAUCUGCAAAGUGUCAGUUGAAGACGACGGGAGGGGUCGCAGAGGAAUUAGUGACUGGAGAAUAGCAUGCAGGAGUUGGUGAUCCCUGAAUAGCUGCCCUGGGAGAAGAGCUGUGGACACAUGCUCCGAAUGUUGGGACAUAUGCAUUACCUAUUAGGAGAUGCGGUAAAGAUGCCGGCUGUCGGGUUUACGGCAGUCAGAAUACUGACACUGGGAUCUGGACACUUUUCAGAAUCCCGACGUUGGAUCUCCGAAUGGGCAAGGAUACCGACGCCCGUACCCCCACGAUCAUAGGUUUAGAGCUGGGCAAGGGGGGACAGGUUUAUGCA